GUUUAAACUGAAGUGUUUGGAUAACUAUUUAAGGUAAUAAACUGGCAUAUUAUUCCCUUAAAGGAAUAAUGAACUGAGUAUAUUUGUACUGUCCAGAAGAGGGCUGGGCAGUGCAGGACCUAUAUUUCUGGGGGAAGAUCUGGGUCUGAGGGUGUGUUGGGGUCACUCUGCAGUAUAACCGAGGCUGGUGAGAACCAGGGUGAAGCUGGCAGACUGCGGUUACACACAGACACUCAGGGUGUUGCUUGCAUUCUGGAAGGCUAUUUGUGAACUGCCCAGGUGAGCGCCAAUACAGCAAGGCACUGUAAGGCACCCAACAUUGCAGGGCAGUGGUGACACAGACCCCCGACUAGUCUGGGAUUGUUCCCUGGUAUGUCACAGCGUACAACCUUUAAAGGUUAAGUACCUGCACCUACGCCCAUUUAAAUUAAUGAUUAGCCCCCAUUGACAAUUGCAACAAAAUGUGUACAUCAUAUAUAUCAUGUAAAGUGUCAACGGAAAAGUUAUGAUUUGCUAAAGGUGAUUAUCCUGUUUAAAUCCGCAUAUCAUCACUGUAUCUGAAGUUUUGAAUAUUGGCUAUGUAUCUGUAUCCCAAAUGUGUUUGCUUCCUGGGGUAAUACCCAGCUAAAAUCUACAUUGAAACCAGACAUUGUUGUAUGUAAACUGCCUGCAUGGAGUCUGGCUCCCCUGUCCUGUUCCUGACUCUGGAAAUGAAUUAUGCUGCCUGUUAAGCAAAAAAUAUCUUUCUUUAAGACAUACUUUUUUUCAGUUUCUAAGGUUUAGCAUCAGGAAGUUCCAUGCGCCUAUAGUGAGCAUUUGACUUUACAGAUCAUUUUCACCUUUCAAAGAAAGAAGACACCUACUAUCAGUUAUGAUUCUGUGUCAAAGGAUUGCUGAGUUAUCAGGAAAUAGACAAGAAUGUGGGAACUUGAACAAGAGAUGCAUGCUGCAAUAUUAUUUAAACAAAUCAAAAAUGGCCAUGGUUUCCUCUCUACUGGCCUUCACUAAGCAGGAGGGGCCUGACUCUACCUUGCAUGUCAUAACCUGAAUGCCACCAGCACCUCCAACAUGAAUUGUAUCAGCUGAAACUCAAGAAGAGAACAGUCGGGCUUAUUCCUCUAAUGCAUGACUUUGCCGUUAUGAAGUCUGACAAUGCAGCAUGGACUGGAGAAAU
rnacentral:lncRNA from 1 species